AACGCACGAGACCUGCGGACCUGCGGAGGGAUCAUUACCGAGUUAUCCAACUCCCAACCCCUGUGAAUUAUACCUUUAAUUGUUGCUUCGGCGGGACUUCGCGCCCGCCGGGGACCCAAACCUUCUGAAUUUUUUAAUAAGUAUCUUCUGAGUGGUUAAAAAAAUGAAUCAGAACUUUCAACAACGGAUCUCU
rnacentral:misc_RNA from 1 species